UCCGCGUGGGCGGCUUAAACAUGCAAGUCGAGCGCCCCUUAGGGGGGAGCGGGAAAACGGGGGAAGUAACGCGGUGGGAAAUCUACCUUUUGUUACGGAAUAACGCAGGGAAAACUUGGGUUAUUACCGUAGGGGUCCUUCGGGAAAAAAAUUUAUCGGCAAAAAAUGAGCCCGCGUUGGAUUACUUAGUUGGGGGGGUAAAGGCCUACCAGGGCGACAAUCCUUAGUUGGCCUGAAAGGAUGAUCAGCCACUUGGGGACUGAAACCCGGCCCAAACUCCUACGGAAGGCAGCAGGGGGGAAUAUUGAACAAGGGGCGCAAGCCUGAUCCACCCUUGCCGCGGGAGUGAUGAAGGCCCUAGGGUUGUAAAGCUCUUUCACCGAAAAAAAUAAUGACGGUAUCCGAAAAAAAAGCCCCGGCUAACUUCGGGCCACCAGCCGCGGAAAUACAAAGGGGGCUAGCGUUGUUCGAAAUUACGGGGCGUAAAGCGCACGUAGGCGAAUCGAUCAGCCAGGGGUGAAAUCCCAGGGCUCAACCCUGAAACUGCCUUUGAUACUGUCAAUCUGAAGUAUGAAAAAGGUGGAGUGGAAAUUCCAAGGGUAAAGGGGAAAUUCGUAAAUAUUCGAAGGAACACCAGUGGCAAAGGCGGCUCACUGGUCCAUUACUGACGCUAAGGUGCGAAAGCGUGGGGAGCAAACAGGAUUAAAUACCCUGGUAGUCCACGCCGUAAACCAAUGAAUGUUAGCCGUCCGGCAGAAUACUGUUCGGUGGCGCAGCUAACGCAUUAAACAUUCCGCCUGGGGAGUACGGUCGCAAGAUUAAAACUCAAAGGAAUUGACGGGGGCCCGCACAAGCGGUGGAGCAUGUGGUUUAAUUCGAAGCAACGCGCAGAACCUUACCAGCCCUUGACAUCCCGUGUUACCAAAAGAGAUUUGGGGUCCACUUCGGUGCCGCGAAGACAGGUGCUGCAUGGCUGUCGUCAGCUCGUGUCGUGAAAUGUUGGGUUAAGUCCCGCAACGAGCGCAACCCUCGCCCUUAGUUGCAAGCAUUUGGUUGGGCACUCUAAGGGGACUGCCGGUGAUAAGCCAAGAGGAAGGUGGGGAUGACGUCAAGUCCUCAUGGCCCUUACGGGCUGGGCUACACACGUGCUACAAUGGUGGUGACAGUGGGCAGCGAGCACGCGAGUGUGAGCUAAUCUCCAAAAGCCAUCUCAGUUCGGAUUGCACUCUGCAACUCGAGUGCAUGAAGUUGGAAUCGCUAGUAAUCGCGGAUCAGCAUGCCGCGGUGAAUACGUUCCCGGGCCUUGUACACACCGCCCGUCACACCAUGGGAGUUGGUUUACCCGAAGGUAGUGCGCUAACCGCAAGGAGGCAGCUAACCCACGGUUAGGUCCGCGCGGUU
rnacentral:rRNA from 1 species